CAAGGAUAAUAAAAUAAACCAAUCGGCAAAAAGAAAAAAUUAUCAAUAAAAAUUUAACCUUUGGAAAAAUGGAGGCAAAUAAAAUUGUUACAAUGUUUCUAAUGUGCAUGGUUGUGUUUUCAGCUAUGCACAUUUCCAUGGCUGAAGAUUUUCCGGGCUGCAUUGAUAGGUGUGAAAAGGAUUGCUCUGGGAAAGGCCAUGACUUUACUUACUGUAAGCUGACAUGUGAGGCUGAUUGUGGUUUGAGAGAGCUCCAAGGCAAAUUUAAGAAGCUCAUUUCUUGAACUGGACCAUGGAUGCAGGGUAUCACCCCAAGCAGGAGAUAGGGAAAAAAUUAAAUAGUAUUUUAUUUUCUUUAAUUAAUUCGCUUCACUAAUUUCCUUUUCCACUACCGUUGUAAUGCUUCUAAUGAGAUAUAAAAAUAAUUACAGUUUGAUUU